GCAAUUAUACCGUGAAACUGCGAAUGGCUCAUUAAAUCAGUUAUCGUUUAUUUGAUAAUACCUUACUACUUGGAUAACCGUGGUAAUUCUAGAGCUAAUACAUGCUGAAAAUCCCGACUUCGGAAGGGAUGUGUUUAUUAGAUAAAAAACCAAUGCCCUUCGGGGCUUUUUGGUGAUUCAUGAUAACUUUACGGAUCGCAUAGCCUUGCGCUGGCGACGGUUCAUUCAAAUUUCUGCCCUAUCAACUUUCGAUGGUAAGGUAUUGGCUUACCAUGGUUUCAACGGGUAACGGGGAAUUAGGGUUCGAUUCCGGAGAGGGAGCCUGAGAAACGGCUACCACAUCCAAGGAAGGCAGCAGGCGCGCAAAUUACCCAAUCCCGACACGGGGAGGUAGUGACAAUAAAUACUGAUACAGGGCUCUUUUGGGUCUUGUAAUUGGAAUGAGUACAAUUUAAACCUCUUAACGAGGAACAAUUGGAGGGCAAGUCUGGUGCCAGCAGCCGCGGUAAUUCCAGCUCCAAUAGCGUAUAUUAAAGUUGUUGCAGUUAAAAAGCUCGUAGUUGAAACUUGGGCCUGGCUGGCGGGUCCGCCUCACCGCGUGCACUCGUCCGGCCGGGCCUUCCUUCUGAAGAACCUCAUGCCCUUCACUGGGCGUGCUGGGGAAUCAGGACUUUUACUUUGAAAAAAUUAGAGUGUUCAAAGCAGGCCUUUGCUCGAAUACGUUAGCAUGGAAUAAUAAAAUAGGGCGUGCGUUUCUAUUUUGUUGGUUUCUAGAGACGCCGCAAUGAUUAACAGGAACAGUCGGGGGCAUCAGUAUUCAGUUGUCAGAGGUGAAAUUCUUGGAUUUACUGAAGACUAACUACU
rnacentral:rRNA from 1 species